UAUAAAAGAGUCGAUACCUUCGAGAUUACACACUGCCUUUUUUGAUACUAGUUUUCUCUCUCAGGCAUUUUCACAGACACUUGGCGUACAGUUUUUCAUCUCUGUUGUUAACGCUCUCCGUUUUCCGACCAACAAAACCUCCGCCGGAACCCUAGUAACGAGACAGUAGAAGGCACACAAGAAUGAAGUACGUUUUGGUAACUGGCGGUGUAGUCAGUG
rnacentral:misc_RNA from 1 species